CGUGCCCCCUCUCGCUUACAUCACAUUUGCCAGCUCAACAUAUAUUUUUAUGAAUUAAAAUAUAUUUUGUUUGUAUAUUUAUAUACAAAUGCAAGGACAGAUCGUAUGACGGAUGGAGCGAGCAGCGCCCGUCGCUCGUAACAACAACAGGCCGACUAAACUGCACCGAAUGCACUUUACCGCAGCGGAAGAUUGUCCCAACGACUUCCAAAACAACCAAGAAAGGCUGUCUCCACGGGACGGUGCUGGGAUACCCUUGCAGACAGGGGAACAAAUGGUAAAGAAACGGCGUUCAAUUACUAUAAGGAACGAUGGGUAUUUUAUGCUGUUGAAACAUAACGAAAUAUUUUAUUUUCCUAGCGGCAAACAUUUUGGCAAAAACAUAUAAACCUUUUCGAAGAGCAUAAUGACACAAAAACAAGAAAAAACUUGGGUCAAAUUAUUAUGAAAAAUUGCGGGGCGCACUGGAAAACUAUUUGCCCGACGAAAAACUGGAAAAACUUGUUGCGACUCUUGCCAAGAAAGAGAUGGCAAAAUGUGUGUGUUCACUGCUGGCUUUUGUUGGCGUCGUUCUUAUAGACAACCAACCAAGACUGGUUGGCUAAAAAGUUGCGUGGGCUUUAUUGGCAGUUUCGGUAGUGUGGAAAAUAUUUGGCUGAAAAUUGUACAAAUUAAAUUAACGACAUGGCGGCAUUUUGAUAUAUGUGUGUCUGUGCACGCUCUUUGAUGGGUUGCAUGGUGUACUCGCUUCAACCCACUCGAGAUACUCAUGGAGCGUUCGACUGUGUCGGGUAUACGGAGGGGUUGAUAGCAAAAUGCAGUUGGGAGACAAAGCUGGUCAUGGCCUGGGAUUUAUCCUAAGAAUAUUUCAACCACAGAAUUAAAGAAAAUUAAAAAACUAAAGAUUUAUGCAUUCCCCAG
rnacentral:lncRNA from 1 species